GUAGGGGGCGAGCGUUGUCCGGAAUGACUGGGCGUAAAGGGCGUGUAGGCGGCUUUUUAAGUCUGGAGUGAAAGCCCCUNNUUCAAGGAGGGGAGUGCUUUGGAGACUGGAGAGCUUGAGUGCGGAAGAGGUAAGUGGAAUUCCCAGUGUAGCGGUGAAAUGCGUAGAGAUUGGGAGGAACACCAGUGGCGAAGGCGACUUACUGGGCCGUAACUGACGCUGAGGCGCGAAAGCGUGGGGAGCGAACAGGAUUAGAUACCCUGGUAGUCCACGCUGUAAACGAUGAAUGCUAGGUGUAGCGGGUAUCGACCCCUGCUGUGCCGGAGUAAACACAAUAAGCAUUCCGCCUGGGGAGUACGGCCGCAAGGUUGAAACUCA
rnacentral:rRNA from 1 species